UCACCUACAGCGUGUUUGGUUCGCUGUAAUGGGUAUGCGGUUACCCAUCUAUUAUGCGCGCCCCACCCAUUCCUGCGUUUGGUUCGGUGUAAUGCCCUAUUACGGGCUUAUUACAUUACGGAUGUAUUCGUGAUAUUCUCUGCUUGCUGGCCGAUUUGCAUUCCCUUCCAAAAACCACGAUUACCCUAUUACGGACGUAUUCCCGAAAACCUUCUCUGUUUUACC
rnacentral:lncRNA from 1 species